CAUGAGUCGCCGUGUGAUACUUGGUCGGCGUGUGGUACUUGGUCGCCGUGUGAUACUAGGUCGCCGUGUGAUACUAGGUCGCCCUGUGAUACUUGGUCGCCAUGUGAUACUAGGUCGCCAUGUGAUACUAGGUCGCAGUGUGAUACUAGGUCGGUCCGCGUGAUACUAGGUCGCAGUGUGAUACUAGGUCGGUCCGUGUGAUACUAGGUCGGUCCGUGUGAUACUAGGUCGCCAUGUGAUACUAGGUCGGUCCGUGUGAUACUAGGUCGCCGUGUGAUACUAGGUCGCCCUGUGAUACUUGGUCGCCAUGUGAUACUAGGUCGCCAUGUGAUACUAGGUCGCAGUGUGAUACUAGGUCGGUCCGCGUGAUACUAGGUCGGUCCGUGUGAUACUAGGUCGCCAUGUGAUACUAGGUCGGUCCGUGUGAUACUAGGUCG